rnacentral:rRNA from 1 species
GACGAACGCUGGCGGCGUGCCUAAUACAUGCAAGUCGAACGCAGUGGGGACGGGUGAGUAACACGUGGGUAACCUCCCAUCAGAGGGGAUAACACUUGGAAACAGGUGCUAAACCGAUACUGAUUGAUGGACCCGCGGUGUAUUAGCUCGUUGGUGAGGUAACGGCUCACCAAGGCCACGAUGCAUAGCAGACCUGAGAGGGGGAACGGCCACACUGGGAAUGCGAAACGGCGCAGAAUCCUAAGGGAGGCAGCAGUAGGGAAGAUUAGGCAAUGGACGGAAGUCUGACCGAGCAACGCCGCGUGAGUGAAGAAGGUGUUCGGAUCGUAAAACUCUGUUGUUAGAGAAGCGGUAUCUAACCAGAAAGCCAAGGCUAACUACGUGACAGCAGCCGCGGUUUC